rnacentral:rRNA from 1 species
UUUAUGGAGAGUUUGAUCCUGGCUCAGGAUGAACGCUGGCGGCGUGCCUAAUACAUGCAAGUCGAGCGAACAGACGAGGAGCUUGCUCCUCUGACGUUAGCGGCGGACGGGUGAGUAACACGUGGAUAACCUACCUAUAAGACUGGGAUAACUUCGGGAAACCGGAGCUAAUACCGGAUAACAUGUUGAACCGCAUGGUUCAACAGUGAAAGACGGUUUUGCUGUCACUUAUAGAUGGAUCCGCGCCGCAUUAGCUAGUUGGUAAGGUAACGGCUUACCAAGGCAACGAUGCGUAGCCGACCUGAGAGGGUGAUCGGCCACACUGGAACUGAGACACGGUCCACACGG